UACCCUGCGCGUGCUUCAGGUGCCCUGACCAGCGUUCGCUGCGAGGGGUGAAACGGGAAGUCCGGUGAGUGCCUGCAACCAGGUCGCGAUCCCGGCGCUGCCCCCGCAACGGUAAGCGAGUCGUAGCGAUUCAAUCAGCCACUGUGCGCCACGCAUGGGAAGGCGAAUCGCACAUUUCCCUCGCGAGCCCGGAGACCGGCCUGACGCAUUUGACCGAU
rnacentral:ncRNA from 2 species